rnacentral:rRNA from 1 species
GACGAACGCUGGCGGCGUGCCUAAUGCAUGCAAGUUGAGCGCUGAAGGUUGGUACUUGUACCAACUGGAUGAGCAGCGAACGGGUGAGUAACGCGUGGGGAAUCUGCCUUUGAGCGGGGGACAACAUUUGGAAACGAAUGCUAAUACCGCAUAAAAACUUUAAACACAAGUUUUAAGUUUGAAAGAUGCAAUUGCAUCACUCAAAGAUGAUCCCGCGUUGUAUUAGCUAGUUGGUGAGGUAAAGGCUCACCAAGGCGAUGAUACAUAGCCGACCUGAGAGGGUGAUCGGCCACAUUGGGACUGAGACACGGCCCAAACUCCUACGGGAGGCAGCAGUAGGGAAUCUUCGGCAAUGGACGAAAGUCUGACCGAGCAACGCCGCGGGAGUGAAGAAGGUUUUCGGAUCGUAAAACUCUGUUGGUAGAGAAGAACGUUGGUGAGAGUGGAAAGCUCAUCAAGUGACGGUAACUACCCAGAAAGGGACGGCUAACUACGUG